ACAGUGAGUUCAAGGCCAGCCAGUCUCAAAAAAACAACAAAAAUGUUUACAGUAAGCAGUUUUUUCAGCUUCCUCCUGCUGAGAGCAGAACCUCCCACCUCUAGCCCUGGUACUAGGAGGAGUCAACAUUUCCUGGGUUCCUUGUGGGCCUAGGCUGGGCUAAAUUUGCAUAUUUCCUGGCUUUUCUUCUACCCCUUCUACAAGAUAGUGCUGGGGGCCAGGCUAGCUGCCUCACCCAUUUGGCCAAAUCAUAAAUAAACUUAUUUUUCCAUUUUUGGGUGUUUUUUUUCCUGUACUCUUGAUGGUCUGAGGGAGAAGAAAUCCAAACUGUAGGGACCCAGCUUCAGACCCUUGUGUUGUUUGUUUGUUUGUUUGUUUGUUUUGGUACUGGGGAUCGAACUUCGGUGCUUGUGCUUUCGAGGCAGGCAGUGGAACCACUGAGCUAAAUCCCCGGCCCACAGGGCCUUGAUGGAACCCCACCAGCAACCUGGGUAAAAGAUGGAGAGAAAGGACCUCAGGAGGCCUCGGCCCAGCGCCUGGCACCAUGAAUGCUUGAUGGGCGGGUGAAAGAGCACAAGCCGAAGCACCUGUGCUGCCCAGCCGAGGUUGACCCAACCAGCUAGGCCUUGGGAGUCAAAGUCAAGGCUGGGGACAGGAGGGGAAUGUCUGUGAGGCCCUGUCCCAGACCAAACAGCAGGGCCACCGGGGACAAGCCUGGAGUCUGACGAGGUCAAGCUGGGGGAAGCUGCAGGGAGGAAGAGCCCUCAGUGAGAGCCAUGGCAGUCUUGGGCCUGGGAAAGGCAGCUGGUAGGUGCUUUGGGGAGGGGAAAUUUAGGAGGAAUCUGCCCCCAAGCAGUGUUUUGCAAGCCUGAAAAUAAGCUGUGUCACAUCAAAUCUGCCAGGUGGAGCUGAGGGUCCUUUCCAAGGAAAGGGCAGAGUAGGUAGAUGUGGAUGCUUAUCUAAAGCUGCUCACCCAGGCUGUACAUUGAUGCUGCUGUCACAGUCACCUAACGCUCUGGGCAAAAAUGGGAGAUUUCCACCGCACUGCCAGAAAUGGCACAGUUGGUCUAGAGUCUGGCUUUGGAGAACAGAUGUCUGAAAUCUCUAGGAGCGAGAAAGAGAAAGCAGCACUCCUCCUCCUCCUGCCACUUUGUGGCUGCUGCCUGUCCUUGCCCUUGUGAGAAACAGUCCUGUUUGACUUUCUAACUGGCUUUCUUUGUUGUCCCAGCUGGAUGAAUGGCAGGGCAUGUUUUGAAUGUCUCCUUCCUUCCUAAUUUUUAAUUCUCGGUGCUCAGAAGAAAGAAAGGGAGACACUGUCGGCAGGAGACAACCCCCGAAGACUACUCUGAGAUCUGAGAGCCCCAGCAGACUGCUGUCUUAAGAGUCAAGGGUGCACCUUGAACUGGGCACCUUCAAGAGGGGCAAAGGGUAAACCAAGGCAUGACUGAAACCAUCAGAACAGGCAAAAAUGAAGCAACAAGACCUAUCGGAAGUCACUCAAGACAGCCCUGUGCCAACAGUUCUUGUCCAGACUGACACAUCUUCCUACCAGACCGACACAUCUUCCUACCAGACCCAUCAACAUAAGGCUGUCAAUUGGCCCAAUUAAGUGAAAUGCUGAGUGAAUCUAGAGAAGGUUUAAAUCCCCUCUCCAAAACAAGACAAAGCAAACCCCAUCCAUGGCACUGUCUUCCUGGGUUUUCCACCCCUCAAGAAAAGCGGAAAUAGGGGCCAGGGAUUUAGCUCAGUGGUGCCAUACCUGCCUCACAAGCACAAGGUCCUGAGUUUGAGCCCUGGUACCAGAAGGAAAAAAAAAAAAGAGCUGGGCCGGGGAUUUAGCUCAGUGGUUGUGCCACCUGCCUUGCAAGCAUAAGGACCCAAGUUGGGGGGUGGGGGGAGCGUAAAUGUACCCAGGUCCAAACCAUCCUGUGUCUCAUUCCUCAGAGCACAUGGAGUGUGACCUGUACUGUCUGUGCCUAAUAAACCUACAUGUGCCUCUUUGGAAUGUGUCCUGAAAACUCUUUCUUUGAUGGGAGUCAGUGAGCCUGGUGCAGUGGGGUGGGUUAAGUUUGGGAACCUGUGACCCAGCCCCGUGACAGUGCUAAUGUUUUCAUGGAAUUUAUUACAUGGCAUUGUUGGAGCAAUAAAUAACUGAUACAGAGUUCAAUAAAUAUUUGCUAAGUGAAUAUUGAUGGAAUUUUAGACACAAGAGCAAGAUAGGAAAUAUGGAGGGUUUCUUUGGAUCUAAGGGCUCCCUUUUGGCACAUCCCACAUGGAGUGCUUUCUGUGGGUAAAAUUAGCUCUACUGGUCUGUCUGGUUGAGAAGGAAGCCAGAAGCUGAGUACAAUGGCAUCCUACAAUCUCAACUACCCAGGAAGCUGAGGCAGGAGGACCACCAAGCUUAAGGUCAACCUGGGCCAGGGAUAGUGAUAGCGCUCCAGAGUGAAGUCCCUGGUCGCUACACUAGCUGCACUAGUGUUCCCAAGAGACUGCACACUCACAGCUAACAACCUCACAAUGUGUUUUCUCUCAGUUCUGUGAGGAGUCCAGGCACAGGUCAGCUGUGCCCUCUUUCCGGCUCGGUUGUUGGCAGAGCUAUUUUCCCUGCAGCCUUGGGAUUGAAGUCUCUGCUUUCCUACUUCCUGCUGGCCACUGUCAGCAAUGACACCACACUCAGGCCAUUGCCUGGUGGCCUCCAGGCUCUCACAGCAGGGCAGUUUGCUUCUCUCUCUUCUUGGUAUUUUCCCUGGUAGUCUAGGCUGGUCUCGGACUCACAAUCCUCCUGCCUCAGCCUCCCAAGUGUGAAAUCACAGGCAUGCACCACCAUGCCUGGCAAGAUUACUUCCUUCUUGAAGCCAGUAGGAGUCUCUGACACUGUUUUUUUGUUUGUUUGUUUGUUGUUUUGGGACCAGGGAUCCAACUCAGGUCCUUGUGCAGCAGGCGGCAAAACCACUGAGCUAAAUCCCCGGUCCCAACACUGAGUUUUUUUUAAUGGCUCAAUAGUCUACCCUGAGUGUCACUAGAGCAGUGCAUUUGUGUCACUUGGGCAGGUAUCAUUUCAACCAGUGAAUAAAUUUGCUCAAUUGUCAUUUUUAUAUUUCCUGUUAUAUUAUCUUAUAAAAAUUAACAAAGAUAUGCAAUUUUUUGGUCAGCCUGUGUUUAAAUAAUUGGACUUGUAAGUGGUAAGGAGUUCACCCAGGUAGUUCAGUGGAUAUCUAGAAGACUUUUAUUCCUUCACACUCCCAGUUCCAGCCCACACUUUGGGGAGGAGCAGCACAGGGGUGCGGGGCCUGCAGGAUUGUCUGGGUCCCACCUCCAGCUUGAGGCAAAAGGGUGGGGUUGUGGCUCUCUACAACCCUCUCCCAUCUUCCCUCCCCUUUUAAAAUUUUAUCUUUGUGGGUGCCUGCCUGGAAAGCACAAGGUCCUGAG